CGGGGACUCGGUGCGGAGCCGGGGCGCCGAGUGUCUCCGUGUCCCUCUGCCCCAGCCGGCGGCCGCGAUGGUGGAGCUUGGCCUCUCGCUCUCUCCCGCCUCUCCAGCGACUGCUCUGCCGGCCGCGGAGGUCGGAUCGAGCGGUCAUUCAUUCAUUUGUUAAUUCGUUCACUUAUUCAGGGGAGAUCAUUGAACCCCUACGGAGUACCGGGUACUGGGCCGGGCGCUGAGGACGCGGGGCUGAGCAAAAGCAGCCGAGGCCCACCUUCGUGCCCCUUAAAACCCAGCGUGCGGGGCGGCAACGAGUACUGCUUUUCUGUUUUGCACUUAAAAUUUACAUUUUGCAUCCGUACUUUUUAUUUACUGUGCACCCUUACGGCAUGCUUUACGCACCCGUACCUGCACCUCCUAGCCUUGAGUGUAGACACCAGAUCCUGAGAUGGGCGAUUUUUCGAGAAUAAUUUUUACCCUAAGUGGAUUUUCGUGCCACGCAUGGACUUGGAACUACACACACGUAGUCCAAAACGUGAAAGUCAAAAUGCAGCUUUGCCAAGUGGCAGGGAGAAAGGAGAGCUGAGAAGAUGAGGAGAGGAAGGGCGCGCUCCAGGCUUUCCAGCCCGGGUGCGGUAGACGUAGCCCUGAAGGAUGAACCCAGGCUGGUAGUAGGGCGGCGGGAGGGCGGGGGGACCUGUCAGUCAAGUCCAAAGCAGAAACGCGGCGCCGGAUCCCAGUCAGAGGCCGGCUGGAACGCUUCCCACAGGCUCCUGGCGCUCCGGUCCCCACCAGGCGACCUUGAUCCUGGCGUGCUCAGCGGAGCCAGCGCAGCGUCGGGAGCUGGAGAGACGCGGGGCGCCGGCUGAGCGCUCCUGCCCUCUGCCUCUGGGCUAGCCUCUGGCCCGGCCUCCCGGCCUCCCCCAGGGUACGCUCUCCCCCAAGAGCGAACACCAGCUUUGGGAUCGCCAGCAGCCACGUCUCUGCUUCUAGAUCUCUUUUUUUUUUCUUUGAGACUUAGUUGAUAGCUGUUUAAGGAAUUAUGUGGAGGAAAUCUCACCUCCGACCCCCGCCCCCGUUGAGCACGGCCGGCCAGGGUCGCUGGGUGGGCCAGGAGGAAAGAAAGGGGCGGGGAAGAAGCAGCAAUUUUACUUUAAAUUAAAAUGACACAAAAAUAUUUUUUCAACUCAGAUCUUUCUGAGACAUCCCCAGAAAGCGUUGCAAGCUGUGAUUACACCUAAUGUGAGAGCAUGAACUAAUUUAAGAGGUGAGAGCUGCAUAAUGAGGCUGCCUCCCGUGUAGCAGCCAAGACUGGCAGCUCUGGCGGCGCGCUGGAGGGGACCGGGAGGGGCACCCUUGUAGAACCAGUCCCUGGCGCCCUGGGAUCUUCUCAGUGCCCUGGCGCUGUGUUGUCGGUCACUCCACAGAUAUUACAGGGUGCCUCCUGAAUGCCGGGUUGCAAUCAAGAGCAAGAGAUGGGGCGAGUGAAAGAGCCUGUUUUCAGGAGCUCAGCAUCAGGAUGACGAUUACCUAGAGGGAGGUGGUGGCCAGCCUCCCCCUCUUCUCUUCAUGCUGAGGCUCUGGUGGGCAGUGCCCAAGCCUGAACUGCCAUCUGUAUGCCAGUGGUUACCCAACUUGUAUUUUCAGUCUUAGCCUCUCUCUGGUCCAGACUUGUCAUUCUAAGGGCCCUUUUUCACUGACUCACAUUGUCUCCUCCCUCCCUGCCUUCCAAACUCAGCCUUUUCCUUUUUCCCUUUCCCACUGACAACAGCUGCACGACCCCCCCGCCCCCCCACGAGGUGAAAAUUCCCAAGAACCCCAUGUCUAACCUAACUCCCUCUCUAUGUCCUGUUGCUUGAGCCAUUCUCAUUAGGCUGCCUGUUCGGAGUUCAUUAUCUCCUAAUUUUUCAUCCAGGAAUUGAUGAAGAAUCACCUACUGCCUCUCCCACACACUGUUUAUUCUUUCAUUUGAUGAUAUCUGUUAAGUGCCCUGAGAUAUGUAACCUCCACUUCCCUCCCAUAUAAGUGAGAUUUCACGUUGAUUACUUCCUUGGCUUUCCUCAUCCCUUAUCCACAUAGCAUGUGUUCAAAAUAAUGAAUAUUAAUUUAAUGUUAAUAGAUAUGUGCUUUCCUGAAUUGUGAGGAUUAAAUGAAAUCAUGUAUAUAGGGAGGAAAAUCCAUUAGAAACCUCAAAAGCAGUUAUGUUUAUUUUUGCUAUUGUCACAUUGUUAGAGUCAGAAUUCUUUUAGCUGCAAGUGACAAAACCAACUCAAACUGGCUUAAGGACUUUAUUGGUUGAUGCAAAAAGCCUCGGGUUAGGUCUUGCCAUUUAAGGUAGGGCUGGAUCCAUCAAUCCGGGUUACCAGGAUCUGUUUUCUAGUUGUGGCUUCAUUUUCAGACAAGUUGUUUCCAUAUGAUAGCCUCAUAGAAGGUACUACCAGCUUAGUCCUAGCAAGAAAAAAGAGUACUUACUCUUCAAUAUUUGCAGCAGAAGUCCCAGGUCUGUUCUUAUGAGGGCAGUUUGAGUCACUUGCUCUUCUCUGAACGUGGAGAAGGCACUGUUUAGAUGAUGGAGGUUGGAUUCAGGUGCAUCCCCUGGAAUGGGGUUUGGCAUUAGCUUCACGUGGUCUAGAAUAAAGGGGUUCUCCAAAGGAAAAUUAGGGUAGGAAUGCUGAGUAAGCAGAACAAACAGAUGUCUACUUUAGUCCUUCCCAAAGGGUGAGCUGCAAUACAUUGCAGACUAUCAGAAUGGUGAUGAACACGGAUGCAGUAGCCAAGAAAAUAGAUGUGUGUUUGUCGUGGUCUUUUUCAGUCUUCAAGAUCUCAGUUAAACAUGAAGUCAACCACUCACUAUGAUGUUAUUUGAGGUUUAGCUUUGAAGUGGAAAUGUACCACAAAUAGUAGAGCCAGAUAAAUACAAAUAAAUAAUUUUAACAGUCCAUUCUAAAAGAUUUCUUUGGUAAUAUUCUGUUGGAAUUGAUUUCUAUCUUUUCAUUUGUUAGGUUCCUGGAAAGUGAAAAUUUCAUUUCUUUGUGGACAGGUACCUAAAAUGUCUCAUUAUUCAUCAAUUAAUGAAAAACAAAUGAAAAUUUGAGAGAGAUAUUCUGAAGAAUAAAAGGAUCAAGUUGGGUCAUUUCUAAAAUCUCAGAGACCUAAUAGGAUGGGGUCUUAGAGAAACAUCUUUUGAGCCACAGACUUCUUUGUUACCAGAAGGAAAAUGAAAGAAGAAAUUUAAAUACCACUUGAAGAGAGGUGCUGCCCAGUUCAUGAGUGCUGCUGCUGUCCUGCCCAAGUACCCAGCUUGCAGAGUGCCAGAGUUAGAGUCCCAGGGGUGUUCUCCACAGCUGCAUGCUUGAUCCAGGCCUAUCAGGUGAGUUGGCUCUUGGCUAGUGGUUUUUCUUCUCUUGCUGUACAAAAGUCCAGACAGUAAUGUCUUUUUUUCAUUUUUAUAGAUAUAUUCCAUUGAAAGUCCUCAUUCUCAAAUUUAAAACAAAGACUUUUUGUGUACCUCAAUAGCAAUGCACACACAGUUGGCUUCACAAACAUAUUGUACAUUUCUUUUUUUCAUAUUUAUUCAACAAAUGUAUAUUGACUACCCACCGUGUGACAGGUGUUAUUUGUUGACGGAACCAGGCAUCAUCAGCAAACAAAACUGACAAAGCUUCCUGCCCUCUGUGGAAGGCAUCUGAGGAAGAGACUGGAUUUUGUAGCAACAUGUUAUUCUCAUUAUAAACUUUAUCAUUGGAAUACUAAAGCCAAAUCAUCCCCCAUCUCCUUGAUCAGGAUACCCACUUAAUCUAGGCAGCUACACAAUUGUGAGAGCCUUUGUUUUUUUCUGCUGAAACAUCCUUAAAAAGAUACCUCACAACCCAAGAUUUGGCUUUUCUUAAAUACGAUUUUUAAUUUUUUUCAUUUCUAUCUAGAGAUUUAAUUGGAAAUGGAAAAUCAUCAAUUUUCCAAUUAAAUGUCUGUUCCAAUCAACAUUAUACCUUUUAGGUUGUCAUUGUCAUUUUUAAGUUUAAGCAACUUUAAGGAUUUUGAAUCUGGCUGCCUGUAAAUUAAAGGUGAAAGUAAUCA
rnacentral:lncRNA from 1 species